AGGCGCGUUGCCUCUUCAAUUCCGUAGUGCAUUGCAGUAGAUUUAAAAGAAAGAUUCUGCAAGCACCGCGGGAGUGAGGCGGCUUCGUGUCGAAUCAUCG
rnacentral:pre_miRNA from 1 species